GAUGAACGCUAGCGGCAGGCUUAAUACAUGCAAGUCGAGGGGCAGCAGGACUGUAGCAAUACAGUUGCUGGCGACCGGCAAACGGGUGCGGAACACGUACGCAAUCUACCCAAAACUGGUGAAUAGCCCUCCGAAAGGAGGAUUAAUACACCGUAACGUAAGGAAGUGGCAUCACUCUCUUACUAUAGCUCCGGCGGUUUUGGAUGAGCGUGCGCCUGAUUAGGUAGUUGGCGGGGUAACGGCCCACCAAGCCAGCGAUCAGUAACUGGUGUGAGAGCACGACCAGUCACACGGGCACUGAGACACGGGCCCGACUCCUACGGGAGGCAGCAGUAAGGAAUAUUGGUCAAUGGACGCAAGUCUGAACCAGCCAUGCCGCGUGAAGGAUGAAGGUCCUCUGGAUUGUAAACUU
rnacentral:rRNA from 1 species